GGCCAGUCUUGCACUGUGCAGUUUGCCGGUGUUGGGCUUGGUCAUCCGUAGGGGAAUCCAGUUCGGCCUUCACUGGUCGGCUGGUGGAACCUACAAUUUACUGUGAAAAAAUUAGAGUGUUUCAGGCAGGCAAUCGCUUGGAUACUCCAGCAUGGAAUAAUGGAAUAGGACUUUGGUCUAUUUGUUGGUUUGAGAUCAAAGUA
rnacentral:rRNA from 1 species